GAGUAUCGCUGCAUCGUAACAAAAUGUCUUGUCAUCUUAAGAGCAAUAGCCUCUGAUAUAAACAGUCCUUCUUUCUCUUGCCAAUAAGCUUGUUCUAGCUACGGAAAAGUGUAAAAGUUCAAUGCAAAAGAGAGAGGAUCGCACACUACACUAGUCUACAAAAUAGGAGACUAAACAUUUAAAAUGAUAUUGCCUAAACGCUAUGAAUUUAGAGGAGGUUAAUUUAAAUAAAGCUGACACUUGGCAUUUUGUAACCGGAAAAUUUACCGGGUGCCAUUAUAAUGACGAACCGACUUUUACGCAUCUGCCGUUCGCUGUUUCUUUGAUUAAAACAAAACAGUUUCCUGUCAAAACAAGUCUAUUUGGCGUUUCCACGCAAAACAUGCGAAUGAACAACAGUAUGCAAGAG